CUGAGUUGCAAAAACUCCCAACCAUUGUGAACCUACCUAUCGUUUGCUUCGGCGGGCCGAGGGCCCUCAGGCGGCCUCGCGCCCACCCCCCUCGGGGGGAGGGCAGCCCGCCGGAGGCGUCCAAACUAUAGCAUACAUUGGCCUCUCUGAAGUAGCUUAUAAAAUAAGUCA
rnacentral:misc_RNA from 1 species